rnacentral:rRNA from 1 species
CCCUUAGAUGUUCUGGGCCGCACGCGCGCUACACUGACGAAGUCAGCGAGCAUGUCCUACGCCGACAGGUGCGGGGAAUCUUGUCAAACUUCGUCGUGAUGGGGAUUGAUUAUUGAAAUUCUUGAUCAUCAACGAGGAAUUCCUAGUAAGCGCAAGUCAGCAGCUUGCGUUGAUUACGUCCCUGCCCUUUGUACACACCGCCCGUCGCUACUACCGCUUGAAUGGUUUAGUGAGAUCUUCGGAUUGGCGCCACUGCGGCUCAGCAAUGGGCUCGGUGGAUGCCGAAAAGUUGAUCAAACUUGAUCAUUUAGAGGAAGUAAAAGUCGUAACA